rnacentral:tRNA from 1 species
UAUUAGCUCGGUUGGUUAGAGCGCACCCCUGAUAAGGGUGAGGUCUCAAGUUCAAAUCUUG